AAGAUAACCGGUAUGGCGAAUCGAAAUAUAUUUCUCUCCAAUCCUUUUGCCAAAUAAAUGUUAUGAGGCACCAAUGAGCUCGGCUGACCUGAUGGUCCCGGGCCGCCUUGCACGCUAGUCGUCUGUGGUGCCAUUCGUGCUUCGAGCGGUCAGGUCGUGCUCGGCUGUGGGAAAACACUGUGGGUCUGGUAUUUAUGGUAGGUUCACUUUAAAACCGGGAGAAGGAAGCGGACGGGAGAGGGUGUUCCCUGAGGACAGAGCAAUCGUCCUGUGUGCCGUGGCCCCCAGGAAGGCCGGGUGAGCUGGCGUCUUGUUUGCCCAGAAUACUUUGGCUAAUCCAAAUCUUCGGCGAUCGGAGUCAGAAACGCUGCAGUUAAAUAUAUCUGACAUGAGAAGUGGCUUGAAAUUAGGUAGUCUUAUGUACUAUAUAAUAAAUAGGCUUGCUUAUCAUCUUCAAUAUGGCAACCUGAAAUAUUUUUAAUCCUUUUGGUUUACCUGCUCAGAAAUCUGUGUUAAAUAUUCUGCACUGGGAUCCCAGGUUAGCGGUGCAAGUCUGCUCAGCAUCGCCCGCCGCUGCGGCGUCUGCUCCAGGUGCUCCUUCGAAGGAAAGGUGGUGGCAGCGUGUACGUACCGUUGGCUUAGACGGGACUGAAGGCUCCUUGCUGAUCAGUUCUCGUACUGAGCCGAAACACUCGUGCUCGUGGUCAAUUUAAAUCAGCUUGGCACAUUUUGAACCUGAACUAAUUUUUUUUUAAUUUUUUUUUUUUUAGGACAGCCUACAAGGGAAUACUGUGAAAUGUCAGGCGAGUAAUUGCAGUAGGUAACGCUGCCGUUGCCAUGUCCCCAGGGGGAUGCCCAGAGCUUGACCCUCUAGAGCUGGCACGGGGCACUGGUACCCAGUGGUGGGGUCCCCUGGUCUGCACCACCGCCCGCUCCCUGCGCCCCAGGGACUCGGCUGCGGGGAGCAGCAGCCGCGCACCCACCCCGUGCGAGCAGGGGCAGUUUGCCUGGGGGGGUACAGCCCCAAAUCCUUUCCUUCGAGGACAUACCUUUGCCGUUCUCUAGUGCAGCUGGGGGUGAGUGGCGUUUCAUCACGGGCUUUUGAAAUGUGGGCAGAAGGGGGUGUGAUCGCUGCCCGCCCAUCUAAACCCCUCACAAUUAGGGCAUUUAUCCAGACCCGGUCUCACGGCCGCUUAGGUGUUUAUCACUUCCCUCGCAGGGGUGAAAAUGGACGUUGCAGCAAUGCAAGAAACUUGCUUUGAGCUUGCCUGCAGCUCUGAGCUGUAGGCUCCAAAAAAUAAAAUUGUCGAGGUGUACGUACAGAGGGACACCUAUAGAGUCUGGGCACCUAAACGUGCCCUGUGCCAGGCUUCGGCACCCGUUACCCUCUCCCCUGAUGUGGAUCGGUGCUGGCGAGCGCAGCGGAUCUACUUCGCUGCCUGCGUUUGGGGGCUGGCAGCAUCGCCGUUAUCUGUAGCAUCUCUAGAACAAAAGGUCCCGAGUCUUGUUACAGCCAGGGUUACUUCUCAGGAAACAGGAGGUACAAACCUGGCCAACACCAGAAGAUCUAAGCAAACACCCUGAUAACUAGGUGCUUUUUUUUUUUGGUUUUUUUGGCCUUUUUUAACUUGAGGGCUAAUUCAAAUAACCUCACCGUCUCAUAUUUCACUAUCCUCUUUCUUGCCAGUUUGGAACCAAUUAUAAUGUAUCACCUUUCAGGAAGAUCACCAGUUUACUUGGAGCUGUUAAGAUAAGGUAGCCAAAGCUUAAUUGACUGCAUAACGAUGAGAGAGCCACGUACUGCCUGGGAACAAGGCAAGAGAAAAGAGAAAUGGGAUUUGCGUCGGAGGGGGCUCAAAUGCAGAGCUGCCAAGGGCAGGUGUGGAGGACGAUGACUGAAACAGGAGCUGCCGGUCUCGGAUCAGCCUGGUCAAACCCAGAGAGCAGUGCAAGACAUCCUGUCGGCUUGACCCGCGUGGCUGUUUCAUCUCUGUUGGAUAGGAAGGUGCUGAUAUUUCUUCUGGAGCCUUGUUUGAGUCCUACCGCUGUUUAUGUAGGUAGAAUUUUUUUCUUCCCUGAGUAAAUUGUUUUCCCAUGAACAUAAUUGCUUUUUAAUUGGGCUGCAGCUGGUGCUGGAUUUGUGCUGAGUUGGAGACUGAAUUACAUCUUUGGAAAAGCAUUUUUUUUGUGAAUUUUUUUUUUUUGCCUUCAAAAUUUAGUCUGGAUGACUGAGGUUCUUGCUUGAGAAGAGUACAACAGCUGGAAGCUUGCUCUGACUGAAAACCCCCAGGUAUUUUGGGCUGGAAAGCUGCAGACGUGGUCAGUCUCAGCAGGAAGAUGUUGCCGUGCUGCCGGCAGACUCCGUUCAGUUCACACCGCUUCUGAACAGGCUUUGCAGACCUGUGCUUGACGACCCUCCAAUUGAGGUGUGGUUUGACUGAACCCAGUCCCUCAGAUCAUAGAAUCGUAGAAUGGUUUGGGUUGGGAGGGACCUCAAAGCCCAUCCAGUGCCACCCCCUGCCAUGGGCAGGGACACCCUCCACUAGCCCAGGUUGCCCAAAGCCCCAUCCAGCCUGCCCUUGAACACUGCCAGGGAGCCAGGGGCAGCCACAGCUUCUCUGGGCAACCUGUGCCAGGGCCUCACCACCCUCACAGGGAAGAAUUUAUUUCUAAUGUCUAAUCUAAAUCUACCUUCUUUCAGCUUGAACCCAUUCCCCCUUGUCCUGUCACUACACUCCAUGAUAACCAGUCCCUCUCCAUCUUUCCUGUAGCCCCUUCAGGUACUGGAAGGUGCUCUAAGGUCUCCCUGGAGCCUUCUCUUCUCCAGGCUGAACAACCCCAACUCUCUCAGCCUGUCCCCAUAGCAGAGGUGCUCCAGCCCUCUGAUCAGCUUCGUGGCCUUCUCUGAGCAAGAGAGAUCCCUGAGACUGUGAUAUAAAUCUGUGACUUGAGUUUUGGUAAACCUGUUGAGGGGGUUACGCUAACCCCUAGGCUCCUGUCCAACGCAGUACAGGCAAUAUCCUCUGAGUAUCCUACGGUGCUAGUUGCCAGUACGUGAGAAACGCCGUUUUGUUUGUUAGUUUUAAAACAAAGGAGGAAGCUGCUUCCGGCAGAUGCGCGUAAGGGGAGGUUGCAAGAGACUGAACGGGAACGGCCAAGUCCAGUUUUUUCAAAUGAGACACCCUGCAGCUAAAAGUCUACUUGAUUGAUGGGCGUUUCAUUGAGCUACUUGCUAUACGCGACUUGGUAUUGUCUUUUCAACUGUGCAUAUUUGAAUAGGGACAGUGGUAAUGGCGAAUCGUUAUUAUUCUAUAAAUAAAACAUUAUCCAGAUGAUGCUGGUCAACAGAGCAUAAAACAAAUAGCAAAUUCUAACGGCCUCGAAUUACAAUUAAAAACCAAACAGCGCGGGAUGCUGAUUUGCACUGAGCACCUUCGCCUCGUUGCUGUGAGAGCUGUUCCAGUUGCGUCAGGAUUAUUCAGGGGUCUGCUCUCUUAGCACAACCUAGUAAAUUCGCCCUAAAAAGAAAAAGCAGCAACUCUGCGGAGCUCACAGCAACCUGUGCUCGGCCCUUUGCUUUUUUUCUGUCUUGCUCGCCGCCGUAGGACAGCGUCGCCGCUUGUGUGAUGUCGCCGGCGCUGCCGCGAUUCAGAGGCCGAGGAGCUCGUGGCAGGAUCCGACCAGGGGUACGAGGAGAUGAAAGGGCUGAGGAUGCAAAGGGUGAAAUUCUUGAGGGGGUAAAAGAAAAACCAAACUAAGUUACUUCCCCGUUCCAAAUUGAAACAAUUAACAAAGAAAAUACUGAACGCGCACGGUUCCUGCAGCGCCGUACGGUGUGCUGUCUGAAGGAAAAAAGCUGAUAUUUAUGUGCAUCAUGAAUUAGCUUUUUAUUGGGAUUUUUUUAUGUGUAUGUCCAUGGGAUUGGGAGAAUAAUAAGUGUAUUUAGUAAGGAGUUUAAAUAUGUUUGCAUUGAUAUAAAUGCAUGCAAAAUUAUGCUGUUGAGAUUUGGAUUAAAUUAAAAUACUUAUAUUAGAAACUUUUAAGUUCAAUUAAGUUGCUUCAGUCAUAAGUGAUUAUUGGCCACUUGGGACGCUUUCAAAAAAUGGUAUUUAAUCUUCCACAUUUUUAUUUUAAAAUCCUUUGAAUAAGACUCAUGAAAAGAAAACCAUUGAAAUUUGAAACUUGUCUAAAAUACUUAUCUAUUAUACAGGAAAAUGUUGUGGGGUUGGUUGGUUUUUUUUUUUAAUAUGACCUGUUCUGUGUGAAAUUACAUCAAAUUUAGUUCUGUUUACAUGGGCAAUGUGAAAUUUGACCUAAUGAAAUCUGUCCCUUUGGUUCAUUGGAUUGUAUUUUGCUUACCUUGCUAGGUGUAAAUAACAACUUCUUAAUCUGAUUUUGACUGCAACAAGAUUGGAAGCGCAGUGACUUUCUCAAAAUGGAUCUGGAAAAAAAGGCGCUCCGGGUGUUUCCGGAGUGACGUCUGUCUGCUCGAGGCCCUGGUUCAUCCUCCUGAGGUCCGGAAACCCCAGCCCGGGACGUGGCCGUGCCGCAGCGAGAUGAUGUCUGCGGUGAGGAGAAUCCAGCUCCCGUUUCGAUGAGAAACGCUGAGCAAGGGCAGAAUCGGCAGCGGGCUGCCGCUCUCCCAGCGCGCUCCUGCUUGGGAACCUCUUCUAAUGCAGCCCAACCCCUUUACUUUUAAUGGACCUUGCGCAAUUAUUAAACAGUUCGUGAUUGUCUUCGUCUAAACAUGCACUUCACUUCUCAAACAUCAUGAAAUGCUCUUGAACCUAUUCUGCCCAGGCUUGUAGCGCAUGCUUAAAUAUCUCCUAGAAAAACAAAUUCCAGCUGGGGAGAAAUGUUCAGUGAUAUAUUGCAGCCCCUUGG